CGGGGAGGCCGGGCUGUCUUUGUUUGGCUCUGGUGGGCAGGGGCUGGGCCCCGGGAACGGGAACGCGCCUGGGAGCGCCUAGGCGGUCAGCUGCCCGGCGAGGUACCAGCUGGCACCUGUGCCUGAGAAAAUCGCGCUCGAGCAGCAUCUUUGUUUAGCAUCGGAGCACUGCGGAGGGAAUCUUCCUGAUCCAGGGAUCAAACCCGCAUCUCCUGCAUUGGCAGGCGAAUUCUUUACCAGUGAACCACCUGGGAAGCCCCGAGGAGAGGAGAUGGCCAGGAGCGCUAGAAGCCCACCAGAGAGCAAGUUGAAUGGAGAACACACAUCCUGAUUUUCUGUAGCCAACACAGGUCCUUUCCUGAAGCUGGAGAUGUAGCACAGAGAGGCUGGUUCUCCAAACACGCAUUCUCCCCACUCAUAUCCUCGUUCAGGUCAGAAAGUGAAAGUGAAAGUCAGUCACUCACUCUUUUCGAUCCCAUGAACUAUACAGUCCAUGGAAUUCCCCAGGCCAGAAUACUGGAGUGGGUAGCCUUUCCCUUCUCCGGGGAUCUUCCCAACCCAGGGAUCAAACUGGGGUCUUACGCAUUGCAGGCAGAUUCUUUACCAGCUGGGAUUCUUUACCACAAGGGAAGCCCUCGGGUCAAAAGCAGACCUCACAGGAGCCAGUUUGCAUUUCUGAAAAAUAGUGUUUUCAAUAAGUGGCUUCUUUUAUAGGUUGGUAUAAUAAUUUAAUUAGUGAAAAAUGUUUCACGAACUUUCUUCUUAAAAAGUUGACCUUCAACACAUGCAGCUAAUUAUAUGGACAAUCAUAAACAGUUUAGGAAUCAACGUUGGCUUUGAGACUCAGUUAGGUGGAUAAACUCAUGGCCCAACUCCUGACUUAAUUCUUUUUGGCAUGAUAGUGACUAAAAUCAGAGAGGACAUUUAACUUUAGGUGUACAUUUGAAUGUAUAGCAUCAGAUUAUGAUGUCAAACUGAAGCAUUAUUGCUAUUAACACUGGAAAUAAUUGCUAAUAGCAAUCAAUCACAUCAACUAGACAGUUACUUUGUGUCAAGUAUUGCACCAAAUGCCAAACAUUCAUUAUCUCAUUUAAUGCUUACAAAAGAAACUCUGGCUUCCACCCCUUGCCCAGUUUUCACACAGCAGUAGCCAGAGAGCUCCUUUUAAAAUGUGCUCAUGCAUGCUCAGUCACUCAGUUGUGUCCACCUCUUUGCAAUCCCAUGGACUGUAGCCUGCCAGGCUCCUCUGUCCAUGGGAUUUCCUAGGCAAGAAUACUGGAGUGGGUUGCCAUUUCCUCCUCCAGGGCUUUUUAAAAUGUGAAUGAGGUCAAGUGUGGCUCUUGAGUAAAGUCCUCCAGGGGUCUCCCAGAGUGCUCCAGAACUGAGCUCUGAGUGCUUCCCAUUGCCCCCAGCACUGUCCUCCAACCCAGAGGGCGGUGUUCAGUUUCUCCAACCUUCAAAAUCAUCUGUACCCAAGGGCCUUUGCACAUGCUCCUCCCUCCACCUGACCUAGCUAAAUUUUUUUCACUCUUCAAAUGUCCCUGCCUCACAGACCUUUUUUCAAACAAAUCACUCUGUUUUCCUUCAUCACGCUUAACAUCAAUUGCUUUUUUGUUUGCUUACUUAUUCCUUUUACUCCCUGAGCAACAAAACCCAGCAGGAUGGAUGGGACACAUGUUCAAUGUUGCUCUCAGACCCAUUCUGACACUUCCGGGAUGCGCAGUGUUAUUCGUCGAAUUAAUCAGUAGAGAAGCACCCUCACAGGAAGAUACUAUUAUUACCCUCACUUUAUACAUGAAGAGGUGCAGGGUGUGAAUAACUUCCCAAAAGUCCUAUAGCUGAAACGGGGCGAUGGCUGUUUCAGUUUACGAACUUCAAUUGAAACCGAAAAACAAAAUGACGAACACAGUUGACCAUGAGGAACUAUUAAGACCAAACUGGAUUCUAUAGAAGAGGGACUCGGAGCUGUUUAAAUUUACAGAAGGGCACUAUCUCCAAAUACAUUAGAGAUGAAGCCGUUACCUUGCACACCUACACCAGCCACACAGGUUAAUAUUAAAAUGUUCUGUGGCUUCUGAUGCGGUGUUUCCUGCUAUUCUUUUUUUUUUUUUUUUUUAAAUUUUCAAAGUAUUUGAGGAUUCAGACUAUGUCUCUUCAAAUCGCAUGGGCUGACGGGCGUUCCAUCCAGUCAUUUCUGCUCUUACCUACGGAAACCAGCAGAAUGUGGUUUUAUUUCACAAUAGUAGGAGACAAAUGGAGCCACAAACCCAGUGACCUGUUCUUCUAGUGCACGGGUUCUGGGUCCUCAGAUUCCACCAACCUCACAUCAAAAAUAUUCAGGGGAAAGAAGAAUUCCAGAAAGUUUCAAAAAGCAAAACUUGAAUUUGUUCCACGUAGGCAGCUAUUGACAUAGUAUUUACAUUGUAUUAGGUAUUAUAACUACUCUACUGUGCUUUCAUCGCUUAGUCGUGUCCGACUCUUUGUGACCCCAUGAACUAUAGCCCACCAGUCUCCUCUGUCCAUGGGGAUUCUCCAGGCAACAAUACUGGAGUGGAUUGCCAUGCCCUUCUCCAGGGAAUCUUCCCAACCCAGGGACUGAACCCAGGUCUCCCAUAUUGCAGGCGGAUGUUUUACCAUCUGAGCCAUCAAGGAACCCUUAUAACUACUCUAGAGAAGUUUAAAGGAGGAUGUGCAUGAGUGUGUGUGUGCUGUUUUAUAUAAAGGACUUGAGCAUCCUUAGACACCCUGAGACCGACCCAGACAGAUACCAAGGGACCUGUACAGUAAGUCCCCUGCGUAUGAACUUUCAAAGAUGUGAAUGUUCCCCUGUAUGCCAGCUGUUGUAUUGUACUACUGUACUUUUCAAGGUAGUGUACUGUAAGAUGAAAAAAUGUUUAUUUUUUAUGUAUUGUUUGUGUGAAAAAUAUUAUAAACCUAUUACAGUACAGUACUGUAUAGCUGAUUGUGUUAAUUGGGUAUCUAGGCUAACUUUGUUGAACUUAAAAACAAACUGGACUUACAAACAUGCUCCUGGAACUCAGUGUGGUCGUAUGUAAGGGACUUAGCAUACUUUAAAAUUUUUGAAGAAAUCAUCAGAAGCCCUCACCCAAGAGAAAAGCUAAAUUCAAAAAGAGGAGGGGCUGCUUCAUUCUAAAAUUGCUGGAGUCCCUUCAAUAUUAAGGAUUCACUGUUUCUGCAGACAGUAAGGAACUGGCUUUUUUGUAACGAGGAAGAUGUCCUUGGUCUUAUCUUUUUGUUGCUUUCACAGCUGAGAAAACCCUGCAGAUCCCCCUGAGGAAGUGUACCCAGGUUCCAGCCAAGCCCUGUACCCUGCACAUGUGGUACUUCCCUUCAGAGAAUUGAAGUUUUCUGUUUCCUUCCGGCGGGAACUGUAGAUGCUCCGUAGGAAAAUACAGGAAUUCGAUUCACAGGGAACAAAACAUGACAAGUCCAGAGGGAGGGGGAGAUUUUCCUGCAAUGUAUGAAUUUCCCUGGUUUCACAUGACACUGUGUAUGGUUUAUAACUCACGUACCACAGGGGGCUGAAAAUUGUCGUUUCCUGGCCCCUCCAGUGGUGGUUUUCCAGUGGGGAGGGUGUUCUGACUAACCAAUGCUGUUUUUUUUUGUUUUUUUUUUUAACUCUUGAGUCUUUGUGUUUGUGAAAGAAAGCCAACCUGUGCUUGCAGGGGGAGGGGAUGAGAAGGUGAGCUGCAGAGAAACAAUCUAGAGUUGAUCUUAUUAUCAAUCAUCUCUGCCUGUUGUGAGAGUUUUAACAAGAAAAGUCUACCCACACAUACUGGCAUUGAUAUGCAUGUUGCCAUGUUACUUAGAGCCUAAAGUGAGAUGUCAUCUUUCUAUCAGAGAGGUUUUUAAUAGAAAUAUUCAGACUACAUUGAGAUUUUUCAGAGAACUUUGUCAUCAAGAAUCCAAACUUGACUGUGAAAUCAUAGGGGAGAGAGAUUGUAUGCACUGUCAGUGUUUUUAAGUACACAAUUUUGUUUUCACUGGUUCACUUCGUCUUUCAUAUGUUGAAGCGUGUGUGUGCGUAUGUGUGUGUUGAGGGUGGUGUUUGUGAAUCUUGAGCUUCUGUGCAACGUGCAUUUGCCGUUAUACUUAAAUGAUUCUGAAAUUCAGCAAAGGUAGGCAAGGUGAACCUUCAGUUUGCUCUGGUUUCUUUACCUUUUUAUUUUGUAUUGGGGUAUAUCCGAUUAACAAUGUUGUGAUGGUUUCAGGUGGACGGCGAAGGGACUCAGCCAUACAUAUACACGUGGGUAUGAUUUCUUCUCUUUGGUGUGGCGGUUGUAAAAAUUGCCUGUACAUGCAGGCAACAUCGAGACCAGCUCAGUCCUUCAAGAAGGC
ensembl:lncRNA